UUUUCCCUUUGAAGUUGAAAGUUGUGAGAAGACAAAGAAGGAGGGAAAGACACCUCUUCUUCCUCCCUAUGCUUCCCCUGAAGAGUAAAUUCAUAUACUGUUCGCUGGGGGCCUUUGUGAACAGUAAAUUUUUCUCUUAAGAAAUAUGAGUCAUGACUCAACUCCAAGUGGUUUGGUUGCUACUCUUUCUAAUGCAACACAAAUUUAUCAGUGUGUCAAAUCUUAUAUUUUAGUAAUUCAAUAGUUGAUUAAUUUUAAUGUAAAGGCUGUGGAGAGAGGGCAUGGAUAGGCUAUUAGAGUACCUAUCAGAGGAUGUGCUGGUGCAUUUUGGUUGUUUUGCUUUGAAGUUGGCAUAAUCUUCCACAAUUAACUGAGUCAUUCAAUGUGUAGUCUGUUGUGUAACUGGCACACAAACACUUGUAGAUUUGUUAUUUGGGAUGACAGGGUGUAAAGUGUAACCUCAAUGGAGUUUUGGCAUGGUAUUGUAAUUUUACACUUUAUAUUUUCUUUCAUAGCCUCAAUAUUUUGAGUUUAUUUUGUCCAUUUUCUUUUGUCAACAGAGGCGACUUGGAGAUGUAUCU
rnacentral:misc_RNA from 1 species